UGGAUCCUGACCAAGUCCUGUACAGAAAGACGCUGGACCCUUUUUCAUCAUUUCUGUUCGUGCUGUAUGCUUCGCUCCUACUUUCGCACUUCCUUUUUUAAUCAAGACUUGUUAUUCGAGAUGGAUUUGGAACAACACCCAACGAGUUCGAGAACGAGCAUCUCAACGCGGAUGUACUGAAGAUUUCAGAUUCUGAGCGACACCAUGAGAAGACCAGAGAAACACCCAUCUCGAGAACGCUAAUGGCAAACGAAAAAUAGACGAACAUAAUACAUCUAAGAAGAAACGCAAUGGAGGGUUUACUGAAGACGCAUUCCCAGAGGAGCCGACACAUACUGGCAACAAUGUCUUUGUGGAACCUACUCUUUGCAACGGAAAGAUCACCGUGCACACCAGGCAAUACAGCAAGUACGGGACUCAUACUAUCCGACUCCUAACGGUGUGAAUUUAGAGCCUCCGUGUUUGGACACCUUCUCUCAGUACAGCACAUAGGAUGUGUUCACAAUGAAUCUGAAACUACCCAAGAAUUUUAGUGCAGAAUAUGAUGGUUACUGCAUAACGUUAAAGCAACUAACAGUAAAAGGAGUAGAGAAAACCAAUAUUAGACUUACAAUCGCCCAGUGGGAAGAAUUGUCUAGUGGGAAGAUUUUUCUGGACAAGUAAUCGUAUUGGAACAGUCGAAUAUUUGCGGACGAAUAGUCAGUUUACAGCCUGGACCAUGGACACAAGAACUAAGAAAUUGAAAGAAAAAUAUUGAUACAUCUGAUGUAGGAAGAAGGAAUUUGAAAAUCACCUUUUAGACUUCUAAGGUUCACUUCAUAGCGUUUGUGAGUUUCUUUCUCUCUUUGUUGUUACCCCUUUCAAUAGCGCAUGAA